rnacentral:rRNA from 1 species
CUUAGGAAUCUGCCUAUUAGUGGGGGACAACAUCUCGAAAGGGAUGCUAAUACCGCAUACGUCCUACGGGAGAAAGCAGGGGAUCUUCGGACCUUGCGCUAAUAGAUGAGCCUAAGUCGGAUUAGCUAGUUGGUGGGGUAAAGGCCUACCAAGGCGACGAUCUGUAGCGGGUCUGAGAGGAUGAUCCGCCACACUGGGACUGAGACACGGCCCAGACUCCUACGGGAGGCAGCAGUGGGGAAUAUUGGACAAUGGGCGCAAGCCUGAUCCAGCCAUGCCGCGUGUGUGAAGAAGGCCUUAUGGUUGUAAAGCACUUUAAGCGAGGAGGAGGCUACUUUAGAUAAUACCUAGAGAUAGUGGACGUUACUCGCAGAAUAAGCACCGGCUAACUCUGUGCCAGCAGCCGCGGUAAUACAGAGGGUGCAAGCGUUAAUCGGAUUUACUGGGCGUAAAGCGCGCGUAGGCGGCUAAUUAAGUCAAAU